GCCUUUGUAUGCCGGGAGGACCAAGCCGGAGGUUCCCACUAUGAGCCUGGAGUCUGAGCAGCCAGAUGACACAGGAGGUAAUUUUUAAAGCUUUAUUUGCCUUUAAUGUGAAAUUCAGAUCUUGAACUGUCUUUUGCUAGAGGAACGAUGUAAACCAGGAGUUUUCUUUUCCUUUUUUUUCACUUUGGAAAAAUUGUUUGGGCUAGUAAGGUGGCGAUCUUGUGGGUGAAGGAGUGAGGGCUAUUCAAGGAGAGAGAACUAAAGAAAUAAAAUGUAAAAUUUGUAUUCUUUUCAUUAGUUGUUUCAUCCUUCAGAAAAGCUUUUCCUUAGUUUGCCACCAAAACUGGAAAAUUUACAUCAGAAUUAUUUGUAACUGGUAGGUCUAAAAUUCUAUGGUGUGCAAUUGCCCUUAAGGGAACUAAAAUUUUGAUUUAUUUCCUGUGGUAUUUCCUACAUCUUCUCUAAAGAGCUUGUAGAUUUCUCACCCCUUAUUCAAAGCAAAAAUCAAGAGGCACUGAAGUCCCGAGAAACUUCUUUUCAGUAUGCAGCCUAAACAGCAGCGUGUGAGCUUUCUGUAUUGUUUAUCUUGAGUCAAAUGCAUUGCUAAGUGUUCCCACCACUUUUAUACACUAUAUUCCCUGUGGUAAAACAUCUGCAAAAUAAUUUUAGAUGAAGAGCAACUUCCAAGUAAACUUUACAGAAAAGAAAUUACAGUUUUCCAAACUAGGAAAGAGAGAGAGAGAAAGAACGCGCUUGCUCUAGAGAAGCCUUUGGUGAUAUUUGCAAGAAAUAAAAAAGAUGACAGGAUUUACCAUUAACAGUCUAUAAAAUCUAGGACCGCCUAAGUACAGUAAGGGAAAAGAAUGUUUUUCCCGAGAGCAGGUCCCCCCCCCCUUUUUUUCAAGCUUACAACUUAGCGUAGAAAAUAAUUGCCAAUCUAAUCAGUAAAUUCAUUUGUAGUGCUUAACAAGCUGUGUGAAUCGAAGCAAUAUGACCAUCUCAUACAAGCAAACCUUGUUCUUGCUGGCAGAAAGUCUAAUGGGAAAAUAAAUGCCUUGAAUACGCUCAGGGUCGUAAGAGAUAGAGGACUGCGAAUCUCAUUAGCCAAAAGCGCUCUGUGAUACUGUUCUGUAGCCACUGGUAAAGUUUCAGACGUCUAGGUAAGAAAUUACGAGAGAAAAUAGACAAGUACACACAUACCCACAACUACUUUUACUCAAGUCCUUGGAAUGGACAUACUGAGUCCCAGGCAGCAGCCGAAUAGAAUCCUGCAGUAGCUCACUUUUAAAAGUCUCAGUCUUCCGAAUUCCUACGCCUUGCCAAAAGGAUAGCACCAUUUGUCCAGGAAGGGAGAGUGCUUUUUUCUGUAGAUCGUACAGUGAACCAUGCCCUGUUUUGAAAUCCCAGUCCUCAGACUCCCCCUACAACAUCACACACACUCUCCUUUUCUUAAACUGAUAUCUAUGUGAAACGAGCUGAAGUUCACGGUCCAGUUAGGAACGGAUAAUACAUUCAUUGUCCUGGAAGCAAACUUUUUUUUUUUCUCACUCCCUGGAUGAAUUCACGCUUGCUGUAAGAAUAAUAAUUACGGAAAACUAGGAAUGCGGUGCUAACGAAUUAAUCCUUAACGGACACCACCCUAACGAGGACAGCAAUGAUUCUGGGACUCUCUUCCUCACAGGACAAGCGUCUCCUGUGACAAUGAGCUAUUGUCCAUCCUCCCACUUCACCCCAACCCUUAGAGAUCCCAGAAGUCAAAGGUUGUCUGGCCUGGUUGACCAUGACAUGUGAGUUAACUCGUUCUGCAGCUACAAGUUAGGAGUUCCUGAAACUUUCUUGUGCCCAGAGAAAUGGAAAGAAAGGGUGUGUGGGUCCGUUCCACUCGAAGUUGGUGGUUCUUAGAGAUGGAAGGUCUGCUCCGAUAUAAACAGAUAUGGAAAAGUUAGAUGUCAGAGCUCUGGUCCCCUGAGGAAAAUGACGAAUGGAGCCUUAGAGUACUCUCACAGGUGACUUAAAGCAUUCCAAUUACUGGGACAUGAAAGGGUUCUCACAGGCAGGGCUUGCAUGCACCAGUCCAAGGUUUGAUAUGCAUCCCUAGUAAAAUCUCACAGCCAAGGAGAACCAUGGACCCCAUAGUUCUCAAAAAUCAAAAGUGAGGAGGGUGUGAAGCUAGACAGAAGACGCGAAACCCAAGGGGCAGGGCAAACAGCUCUUUUUCUUUUAAUCUGCAGACAUCCAUAGCUAAAAUACAGAAUUCCACCUUAAAACUUUGACAGUCUUAAAAAUGUUUUU
rnacentral:lncRNA from 1 species